UCGAGAGAGAGAGAGAAAUCGUGGAAAUUGAAUUCUAGGGUUUGUUAUUGUAUCGGGAAUCAAACAAUCAGCAAUGGCGUUGAGGAGAUUCUACAAUGAGAUCAAGGGGAAGAAGGUAACAGAACUUCCUCAACACGUGAAACCGAUGCUUUCAUUCGAUUACCUCAAGAAAUCAAUUCAGAGAGGUUUAGAUAAUUACAGCGAAAAGUAUAUCGAAACAAGUUCGAUUCAACCUCUUCUCCAUGUCUGUUAUGGUGGAAUGAUCUUCUCUUACCUUGUUGCUCUUCCUAAUGAGCGUCGUCAUCUCGCUCACAAAGAGCACGCCGAAUCUCAUCACUGAUUCAGGUUCUUUCUCUUUUCUGAUUCCCGAUUUUGUUUGUCAAUUAAAUUGACAAUAAAAUAAUAAUAAUAAUAAUAAUAAUAAUAAUAAUAAUAAUAAUAAUAAUAAUAAUAAUAAUAAUAAUAAUAAUAAUAAUAAUAAUAAUAAAAAAACGGGUUAUCUUCUUCGAGUCGGGUCACGUAAAUGGGUCAAAUUCAUUUUGGGGCAUAAAUUAAGACCUUAUGUAUCAACCAUACCCCGUGUCUGUGUCAAUCGAGAGAGAGAGAGAAAUCGUGGAAAUUGAAUUCUAGGGUUUGUUAUUGUAUCGGGAAUCAAACAAUCAGCAAUGGCGUUGAGGAGAUUCUACAAUGAGAUCAAGGGGAAGAAGGUAACAGAACUUCCUCAACACGUGAAACCGAUGCUUUCAUUCGAUUACCUCAAGAAAUCAAUUCAGAGAGGUUUAGAUAAUUACAGCGAAAAGUAUAUCGAAACAAGUUCGAUUCAACCUCUUCUCCAUGUCUGUUAUGGUGGAAUGAUCUUCUCUUACCUUGUUGCUCUUCCUAAUGAGCGUCGUCAUCUCGCUCACAAAGAGCACGCCGAAUCUCAUCACUGAUUCAGGUUCUUUCUCUUUUCUGAUUCCCGAUUUUGUUUGUCAAUUAAAUUGACAUUUAAUUUAUUUGAAUUGAAUCUAUCCUAUAGUAAAUGGUAUUUUUUUUAUCCUCGAUUAAGAAUUUCAUUUUUUAUUUUUUUGUUAUUGUGCAAAAGAUGCUUGUGUUGAUUGAUGUGGUGUUUGUGUUUUGCUUAGUGAUUUUUCGUCCUGAUUUUAUUUAUCUGCGGUUCUUUUAAUUCCAUACAUUAGUAAAAUUGUGAUUUGAUUUAUCCAAUUAAAUUAAAUUAAUCCUUUGAUAAAUGGUGUUUUUUAUGCUUGCAUAAGAAUUUCAUUUUUAAUUUUUUGUUAUUGUGCAAAAGGUGUUUGUAUUGAUUGAUGAGGUCUUAGUGUUCUCCUUAGCGUUUUGAGGUGAAGUUGGAUUUGAAAGAAGCUUCUAGAAACAUGUUUUGUUUUGUUUUGCUUGUGGCUUUGAAUACUGAAAUCGCUUGUAUACUGGCAUUUAUUUUGGAGAAUUAGAUCUCUAACAAGUCCCCCUUUUCUGACUCACUGAUGCUAAACUUGUGGCAAUUUUCAUUUUUGUAUGUGUUUUGAUUAACCUACAAUCCUUAGAGCAAGGUUUUUUCAGUAUGCAAGGUUUUAAAGAUGCGAGACAAAUAGUGCUUAUGUCAAAUUGAUUUUGAUAUAAAAAAACCAUGAUGCGGAUAUAAUUGUGUUUGCGGAUUGUUUUUUUAAAUCUUGACCGAUUAGAUGCUUCUCCUUUUUCAUUUUGCUUUAUGUUUGGAUUGGUGGUAUAUAAUGGAAUUGAGUGAAAUGGAAUUGGAUACAUCCAUUUUUUUUAAAUUAGCCCAUUCCAUUUCAUUCCACUCAAUUCCAUCCUAUACGACCAAUCCAAACAUACCCGGGUAUGUUUUUAUUGGUAGUAUAGAGUGCAGUUGAAUGGAAUAGAAUAAGAUAACAUUCAUUUUUUAAACAAACUAGCCUUAUUCAUUCCAUUCCAUCCUAUACCACCAAUCCAAACAUACCUGAGUAUGUUUUUAUUGGUAGUAUAAGUGGAGUUGAAUUGAACAGAAUGAGAAGAUGUUCAAUUUUUUAAAUGUAAUAAACCUAUUUCAUUCCACUCCAUUCCGCCCUAUACAAACAAUCCAAGCAUACCCUUAGUUUAUAAUUUGUAUGUGAAGACUGCCUAUCUGUUUGGAAUAGAUCCCCUUUUCUGUGUUUUAAAUUUAACUAUAGCUGGUUGCUGCAAACCUGUUCGACAUGUUUUCGUCAUUGUUGGCUCUUUCCAACUUGGGUGCAGUGAUUUUCAGGUUUCUCACUCGAGGAAAAUACUGAUGCUUUUUUUAUCCUUUGCUUUCCCAAUAAUUUACAUGCUGACUCAAUUUCAAAACUAGCUGCAAAUAUACGUAUGUUAAAGGCAAUCUAAUUAAAAGUUCUGUUUUUUCUGACUGCUAAGUUAAUGGUUAUUUAGGUUUUAUCCUAGGAGUGUUUUUGCUUCAAAUUAGAUCAGUUUGAGUGGUUUCUAUUUAUUGAAAUUUGAAACUGGUUUUGGGAUUGGAGCUUAAAUAUGUUAAAAUGAAAGAUGAAGGUAUUUUUUUCUUCCCUUGAUGACUACAUUGUUAACCUAUAAGUUGAUUGCAGUUGUGUAGUCUUAUCCUUAAGAUAGUAAGAAGUUAUUUGGUACACUUGUUGUCUUGAAAAGCUUGAACUCCAAGUUUCUAUUGUUUCUGUCAUGUGCAAGUGCUAUAGGCUUUGCGUUGACCAUGUUUGGAUUGCUUUGAAAUUGUUAGAAUAUAUUGGUCCCCUUAAUCUAGUUCUGCAUUUAACUGAUAUGUUUGCCAAUUCUUGUAUCUCCAAUGUUCCAAAAGAAUUUUGGGGACGUAAUGGUUCAGGACAGUUUGGUUUGCUCUGUUCACUUUGUUCUGUCCAAAAGCUUGACUCUAUUGCUGUUCAUGGUUAAUGCUUAAUGCUUUUUAUAAUCUCUGUUUUGUAUUUUUGUUUCAUUAUGUGGUUAAUAUCUUUUUUAUCUGUGGGCAG
rnacentral:lncRNA from 1 species